CACGGGCAGAGGGUGGGGGAGCAGCGGGGCUGCCCUCCCCCGGGACCGGCGGCGAGCCCGGCCCCCGGGGAGCGCUGCAGCCCCCUCCCCGCGCCCCUCGGCCCCGCACUCACCGAGAAGCCGGCCCAGGACGGGCAGGACUGCCGGAUUUUGGUGGAGGGAGUGAUGGUGGCCGCCACCAGGCUGAAGGUGACGAUGAGGACGCCCAGGACGGCUUGCACGAGCCCCAGGACCAGCAGGACCUGCAGCCAGGUGCGCUGGAGGCGGAGGCACCACCAGCAGGCAGCACUCCUCAAGGCUGAGAGGUUCCUUCAGGGCACAGCAGAACAACCCCAGGAUCAGCUGCUGUCAGGCCAAACCCCGACCAGUCCCACCAGUUCCAUAACUUACAAGGAAACAGAUAAGCUACAGAGAGCUGCUAGUCCUGGAGUAUUUACACCGAGGGGGGCAGGAACAGGAGACAAAGCAACACAGGACAAGAGGUAUUUACAGCACGGACACACAGGCCCCCCUCACCUCACGGGAACGGCAGCAGCGACAGCAGGUCAGGCCCUGGUGCUCCUAGGCCGACAGAGAAUCUGGGCUAUUUACAGUAUCUCACAUAUUAACAGCUUUACAAACGUGUCCAGGAAGU